rnacentral:rRNA from 1 species
UACGUAGGGGGCUAGCGUUGUCCGGAAUCAUUGGGCGUAAAGCGCGCGUAGGCGGCCCGGUAAGUCCGUUGUAAAAGUCGAAGGCUCAACCUUCGAAAGCCGAUGGAUACUGCCGGGCUAGAGUUCGGAAGAGGCGAGUGGAAUUCCUGGUGUAGCGGUGGAAUGCGCAGAUAUCGAGGAGGAACGAUCGGUGGCGAAGGCGCUGCUGCUGGACCAUAACUGGACACUACAGGGAGCGAAAGAGCUUAGGGGAGCGAACUGGGG